CCGGCGACCGGCGCACGGGUGAGUAACACGUAUGCAACCUGGCCGCCACAGGGGGAUAACCCGCGGAAACGCGGCCUAAUACCCCGUGACGCCACCGGAGGGCAUCCUCCGGUGGCCAAAGGAGCGAUCCGGUGGCGGAUGGGCAUGCGGCGCAUUAGCUAGACGGCGGGGUGACGGCCCACCGUGGCGACGAUGCGUAGGGGUUCUGAGAGGAAGGCCCCCCACACUGGGACUGAGACACGGCCAGACUCCUACGGGAGGCAGCAG
rnacentral:rRNA from 1 species